UACGAAGGGGGGCUAGCGUUGCUCGGAAUCACUGGGCGUAAAGCGCACGUAGGCGGACUCUUAAGUCGGUGGCGAAAUCCUGGAGCUCAACUCCAGAACUGCCUUCGAUACUGAGAGUCUCGAGUCCGGGAGAGGUGAGUGGAACUGCGAGUGUAGAGGUGAAAUUCGUAGAUAUUCGCAAGAACACCAGUGGCGAAGGCGGCUCACUGGCCCGGUACUGACGCUGAGGUGCGAAAGCGUGGGGAGCAAACAGG
rnacentral:rRNA from 1 species